GCCUGACCUAGCUCCUGAGUUUGAUUGAGAUUAUGUGCCCAACUCAGCCUCUCUACGUGGAUGUCAUCUUCAUCAGUGCAUCUUGUCAGUUCUGUCUAAAGCAUAGAGGUAUCCACUUUGCUCUGUCUUCAUUGCCAGCAUCCCAGUUUAGUUACUGAUCGUGGAGCCUCUCCAGGACUACAGGCUCUUCCUCAGCGGCUGCCAAGCUCCUCUUAGGGAAGCCGGGGAACUUCUGAAUGCCCAAGUAUACCCUGCUGGAGGCACAGGAAUCCUCUUGGAAGCUUUGUCUGGACAUGCUUUAAUACCGUCCAUUUCUACUGUUGCCAUACCAAGCCGCUACUGGUCACCACUGUAAAUCUUUCUGCUGUUUUUUAUAACCACAAAGUAUAGCACAAUUUCUGUCUGCUUUCAUGCACCUAAAACUAUUGUGGUUUUUGCCUUUCCCGGUCUCAUUAGCUAAAACAAAGAGUUGAUAAAGGCACAGGCCCUUUCUCAAGAAACAAAAUGUUGUCUGUCUUCUUUCUGCAGUGAAACAGAAUGUAAAGUCCAGAAAUAAACGUGUAAUUAAAUAAUUGUGUUUUUUUUGACAAAGAUACUAACACAAUUUAAUAGGGAAACGGCAGCAUUCUCAAUAAAUCAUGUGAAACUAGAUACUAAUUCACUCAAUAAACAAGGGUUAAUUUGAGAUGUAGCAUAGGUCUGAACAUAAAAGUUUCUAGGAGAAAAUGUUGGUGACUGUUUUUCAGGCUGUGGGAUGAGCAAAUAUUUCUUACACUGAACACAAAAAGCACUAACCACAAAAAAUACCCAAAAAUAUUUUUUAAUCAAAAUUAAAAUAAUUUGCUCAUAAACACCAGUAAGACAAUGAAAAAGCAAGCUGCAUGCUGCUAAAAAAAAUUGACAGCACGUGUAUUGAUAAAAUG
rnacentral:lncRNA from 10 species